rnacentral:lncRNA from 1 species
UCCCGAAAAUCCGUCCGUCGGAUUUCCGAACGGGUCGCGUCAGCACGCUCAACACGACUGGUGUAUCGAAUCUAGUAUUUCGUUUCAUCCGAUUUGGUUUCCGAUUCACGACGAAACCCACCCUCAUCGGAUUCAACUACAAAACCACAUAUAUUUCUAUAUGUAAACCGAUCAAACCCCUUUUUCUCGACAACCGUGCAUCAGAACUCAAAUCAGUCAGUGCCACUGGUUCCAGAAUAGCCGAACCGAUCGAAACGAGCUAUUGGACCGCUAUGAACGGAGUCCGGUACAAGCCUGAAGCCAACUUCACGUCGUGGCUUCUCCGGAAAUAUCGAGUUACUAUUCACUUAAGUGAAAACUUGGAGAUCGCGUAACUUCUCCGUUCUAUCUCAGAUUCUCCUGAAACUUGACGAGUGCUUAUGUAAUUAAAUUACACACAUAAACAUCAUCAACAGAGAGUUAAGUUGCACUGUCAAAAUCUCAAUCCUUACAUCAUCCCCCCCUUAAAAGAAGUUUCGUCCUCGAAACUUGACCACGUAUCCACCGUAAACGAACUCUGACAUUGCCCCACCAACGCGGUAACACCUU